CGCCUGCGCAGUGGGUGUAGUCGGUGUGGGCGGAGUCAAACGCGUGACCCCGCCCACGCCGAGCCACUCCCCGAUCUGCGUGCUGCAGCCAGGAGGCUUCAGGUUGAAUCCAGCUGAGCUCUGCUGGCCUGCAGGGCGGAGAGACAAACGCUGCUGUGAAGUUUGACCCUCUGUACGACCCGUAGACGUGACGAAACACGGCUGAGCUCGUUUCACUUCCAUCAAUGUUUGAGGAAAAUCAUCAAGAAGGUGAUCAGGUUUCUGACCUGAUGCUCUGGGAACUUUGCUGAGCUUUUCCUCAUAUUAAUCUCUGCUGGAAAUGAUUCAGUGUGAGAUGUUGAGAAUAAUACUGAAGCAGGAAGUGGCAGCUGAGGGAACAGAGCAGUGGAGCUGCUGCAGGGCUGCAUGCAGACAGCCGGGGAUCAACACCUGCUCAGGUAGACGUCUCACUGUCACCUGCAGAGAACAUGAGAGUGAAGCUCCAGCAGGUUCCAGCUGUGCAGGUGUGCAGCUCACAUCUUCACCUGCUCACUUCCUCUGACACCUGAGCUGCGAGCGGCUGACGCGACUCGGCCGUUUGGUUGGGAUUCAUCAUCUGAAGGCGGCGUUUCUGGAGUCCAGUCAGAAAUGAAAGACCUUCCAGAAGACAAUCCAUUCAGACGGUUCUGACACAGACUUGGACUCAGUACUGAUGUCAGCAGGGACGACAGUCGUGCAGCGAGGUGUAACAUAAGAGCAGCACCACCUGAUGAUGUGUUACAGCUCAGAAACACAAAGAUCCAAAUGUUUGUUCAACACGGUCUUUAAAAACAGCUCAGACACAGAGCAGUUCCACUUCUACUGCAAAACCGUCAGAUACAUGUUGUCACAAGCAGACGUGGAGAAAGAAACCCGGGACAGUGUGCAGUCUGCAGCGCUGCCACUCAAACCAGCUCUGUGAGCUCAGACAGCUUUAAUAUCAUCACACCAGCUGAGUGCAAACAGCUGGAGCUGCAGACACCAGAGGCCACAGCAUCAACAUCUGUGUGGAGGUGGAAAUCAUCCAGCAGGUGGAGUUCAGUCAGACAGCUCCACCCUCCAGCUGCCAGUCAGUUCAUGAGGAGGAAAGAACUGAGACACAUGUGACGGUGUCACACACACGUUGCUGUGAUGAAACUCAUUCCACUGAGAUGUUGUUGUUCAGUUUAGUUCCAGUGUUUUAUGGAUUGUAAAUGUAUUUGUAUGAACACAAAUUAAAUUCCCCAUAAAUAACUUUUUAUUUCAGGUCUGUUGUUCUGUGUUUCAGUUGUGGUGAAUUUAAUUUGCUGGUUUUAGGAACCAAAACAAAAGCUCUUGUUUCCAGUGGGAGCUGAGAAGCGUCGCAGCACGAGAGAGAAGCUGAUCUGUGGUCUGCUGCAGCAGCUUCACCUCAUCUGUGGAGGCUGUUAAUGUCCUGUGGAUCACUGAUGCUCGGCCCAGCAGCACUGAUGAGCCCGGCUUCAUCAUGCUGCUCCACCAGCUGAACCAGCACAGACCAGCACAGACCAGCAUGGAAAUCAUGCUGGUCUGUGCUGGUUUUUCACGUCAGGAACACGUCAGUCAGCUGAUCUCCUCCUGAACAUGUGACCGCAGCGGUUCUGUCCGAGGCCGUGGAAGCCCCGAUAUCCCAAACUGAUGUGACCAGUUGUUGACGUCCUGUUUAAAGUGUUAACCUGCUAAAAUCACAUGUGUUCAUGUGGGAGAACGCUGCAGCGAAGCUCUGCUGUCAGCUGCUGCUCACAGCAGACCAUGUUGGUGUAGUGAAGGAAACAAACGUGUGUCUGAUGCUCAUUAAUGUCACUUUGUGACAUGAAGAGUGUGUUAUCUCUCUCUCACUGGACAGGCAUCACACUCAGAGGGAGGAGAAGGUUUAAUGUUCAACCUGACGUGUUCAGCUGCAGAGAGGUCGGUUUAUUUAAGGUUUACUUGUUCAGACUCAGUCUGACAGAGUUCAGGCUGCAGUUCCUGCAAAUCUCCACCAGAUGGCAGCAAAGUCCAGAAGGUGAAAUAUGAACUGAACGGAUAGAAAAUCCUGACCAAUCACUGCAGCUCAUAGAAACACAGUCAGACUGUGAAGUAGAGAUGAGGUCAAACCAAACAUGAUGAUUUGAACACUAUGUUAAAGCCGAUCCAUGCAGGAAUAUGUAGAAGUGUCUGAUCAUAUGAUAGAGAUCAAUAAUGGACGACAGGAUUUAUGUUGAACGGACUGUCAUUGUUUUGUGUGUCGUUGUGUGACAAUGAUCCGAUAUUGAUGGUUUCAGUUUGAAGCUUUGCUCUCGUCCUCCUGUUGGCUCAGCAGGAGAAACCAGGGCUGCAAGUUUUGAGGUCGCGGGUUCGAUU